UUUUAUUUCAAACAUUUAUGCUAUAAAAAAGUGCAGUGUACAAAGUAAGAGCCACCCUCCCUGAAUAUGACAGCCCCAAACCAAGUCCUCCCCUCAGGACACCCACUCUCAAGCGGUGCAUCCCUGAGGCCCUUUCCUCUGCACCGAUGCUCGGACUCUCCGUGUGUGCCAUUUUGCAGUGGGGUCACGCUCCACGUGUUGUUCUGCCACUGCCUUUGGUUUCUCGACACUGCCUCGUGGACACGCAGGGAGAGCUUGCAGCUGGUGACAAGCUCUCCAGCAGGUGAGUAAUCCAGCAGCUCUUUCUGCCUCGAGGUGAGUGAGGUAACCUCUCUGGGUGCCAAAGGCAGGAGCGAAGAGAGUGAUUCACAGAGCUGUUCUCCUUAUUUGUCCAAUUGGGACCAGCCUGGUUCACUGAAGUAAGAGUCCAGGAAAGAUGAGCGUUUUUAUUUACCUGAGUGAGUCUCUGGUUUAGUGUUUCUUCUUAAACACUGAGUUCACAGGGCUCUUAAAGCAGACCGGAGUCGCAGAAAAGGGCACUGGACAGAGUCAGUCCACAAGUAUCUGCUGAGGUCCUACUAUGCGUCAGACACUGUUCAGGCACAGGGUUGUGCUGAAGACGAGAGCAACAACAUCCCAAAGCUCUGUCAUGUUGGUGGAUGUGUCAUGCUGGUGGGGGAAAGACAGAGAAGAGUCAGGUAAACAUGUAAGUACCUUUAGACACUGGUCACUGCUUACAGAAAAUACAGUCGGGUGAGAUCAUGGUCCCUUGAAGGGCAGACAGAAUCAGCAGACUUGGGGUCCAGCUUCCAUCCAGCAAGAACUGUGUGACAUGGAACACGACUCUCCCCUCUCCUGGAUUUCACUUUCCUCAGCUGCACAAAGACAGCGCUGGACCCAGUCACCUGGUGCCACCUUCUAGCCAUAGAAAAAGCACACAGGAGGUGCAGACACAAUGUUCUGUGACUAUUUCUUCCCAGAGUUCCUGUUCUACGGUUGCAGCCUCUAGGAAGGGAGAUAUUGAUUAAAAGUCCUUCAACCAAAGGCCAAAGCUCUAGAGAACACAGAACAGCAGGAAGAGGAACCCAGCCUUGAGACCAAUAUAUUUUAUAUAAAUUCAAAGCAACUUUGUGCUCUCUGGGCCUUUGCUGCCAGCCCAAGUGAGAGGAAAGUCAGAUGAUUCUCCAGGUUUGGGAAGCUAGGCUCCCACGGCCAGAAACUGCCGGGCAAGGCAGAGGCCCGAGACCUGGGGAGGAAGGUGGAGGGAGGCGGCGCUGGAGGAGAGGAUGGCAGGAGCUUCCUAGGCCCUUGGGAACCAGGGUCUGCCACAACCCCCGUCAGCUGAACAGGCUCCCCUUCCACGUGUGACCUCCCAGCUCCACCACAUUAAUCCCUCAUGGCACGGCCCCGCCACAAACAGGGCCAGCAGAUCUCGUUUGCUGAACACUCCCAGGACCAACCCGAAAGGGGACCUGAGUUCAGGCACCACCAAGAAAAUCCUGCUUUGCAAACAGGACCAGUUUAGCCCUGGAGAACCAGAGGUGGCAGGAAGGAGUGGAGAGGAUCUCCGCCUUCCCCUCCCUCAAAGGAAAGUGACUCCUACAAUUUCUUUCUUUUUUUAAAUUCACAGGUUCACGUGCCAUUUAGAAAGUGGGUUCAGUGCCUGGGGACUUGACCCUGAGCAUUAUGGACUCCAACAGCGGUAGGAUUGUGAAGUUUAAUCAAUGAUGAGAUUUUCCCACCUCAGCCUGACAGGAAUGACACUCAGCUGAGAAGAUGGCAGUGGUGCUUUUCCUUUAGGGGAAGAAAGGAGGGCCCCCGGAAACCGUCUGUCCUAUCUGAUUCAUGCUCAUUCAUAAUGCAGCAGGCUUAGGAGCCGCAAAUAACAUACUAGUGCAAGAAGGCAAGCCAGUCAGGCAGUCUCAUAUAUCACUGCUCCAUCUGUCACACUGACACAAGGAUUCAAGCUACUGAGGCCUGUGGCUCUUCACAGGGAGUUGAGAUGGCAAGAAGCAGAGGCAACUUGGGGGAGAUGCCCAUUUUAGGGUUUUGAUGAAAGCGGAGUGAAAUAAUGCUCAGUAUAAUAGUCAGACACAGUAAGACUGAGUGCCAACCAUGUGACAGGCACUGUGACAGGCUCAAGGAAUCAAAUAUCAGAUCAAAUAAGACGCUGGCAUGGGUGGACCUCAAGGACGCAUUUACCUGGGAAGGCCCCUGGCAGGUGCCCAGUGCCAAGUACAAAGUGCAAUAAACGCAACUUAAAGUCCUGACGUUCCCAGAUCUAGGAUGACCCAGGAGUCCAAUGGGAAAGUCCGAAGGGCAGCCACAAGCCAGCAAGGGACCGCUUCCUUUUUCUCCUCUCCACAGCCCAAGGAAACACUCCCUUGGAAUCGUAGAAAGGACUAAAGAUUUCUCCAUUUUACAACCAACAGACAUUAAGCAAUAUGAAAGAAAUGCUUCCCUGGACUUAAAGUAAGGACUGGAGAUGUGCUGAUUUUGUACCUAAAAUAGAUGGAGAUUCCUGGGAAAUUUUGGCCUGAGAUCCUGAACCAUCUGGCCAUGCCCUAAGCCUUUGCCUUUGCUGGCAGCAAAUACGUUCCAAGCUCCUCUAAAAAUUUGUCAGUCAAGCAUUGAUACAUUUACAGGGAGAGUGAGAAAAAAUAUUACUGAGUUUGGGAGACUAAGGCCUUAACUCUGACUUUGAAAGUCUCACUAGGAUUUCUUAUGGGCCUUGGGGCUUGGUUUAUUUUCAAAGGCGACCACUUCAAGCUGCACCCAGAGAGAAGCUCAGGUCGCACAGCGCCGAGUUUCUGAGAAGGUUACUAACAGCCGUCCUUAAAAUGUACCACCUUCCCUGCCUCUUCCCUCCUUGGGAGGAGCUGUAUAAAAUGAGGAGCCGUGGCCCUAGGGGAGCUGGAGAAUGUUCCUGAGAGAUUAUAGAUCUGGAGGUCUGCACGCAUUUGCGGAAGCUCAACUCCAUCUCUUUCCCAUCCUUCUGUUUUGAAGAGCCAGGUCCUUCCGCGUGGUCCUCAACAGGGUGAUGGGGGUGGGCGAUGUGUCAGAACAACCUGGAGAGAUUUUAAAAAAUAGAUUUGCCACCUCCACCACCUCUUCCAGUUCUCUGGGGAUGAGGGGAUGGGGGAGAGUGGGAUAUUUGGAGAAGUGUUCCUGGGAGGCCUCAUUGACUGGCCUGAUGGCUUACCACCACCCCUGACCCCACAAACUUUUUGUUAGUUCUUAUGUUAGUUCUUUUUGUUAGUUCUUAUGUUUCAGAGAACGGGCUCCGGAGUUUGCAAGAUGUGGAUUUGAAUCCCAGAUCCACCACUUGCUUUUUGCUCAUUUUCUCACCUCCCCAGGAGGGUCGGGACGAUCAUGAGAUAAUGCAAUAUGUCCGGUAGGUAAAGCCCCCAAUACAAGCCGUCCUCUUCUUUCCCUCAGGCACGUGGGCCAGGACAACAAAGAGAAUUGUCUGCUGGCAAAGGCAGCUGUGGCAGAGUCUGCUACGAUGGCCACCCCCAGGAGCUCUCUCUGCCAUGGCCAGGGAGUACUGGGGCAGUCCCAGAAGGCAAAACCAGUGAGAGGGGCUAGGACCCCAUGGCUGCCUAGGGGACUCCUCAGGAAAAACCAAAGCUGGAGUGGCCCUGAGGAAGCUCUGGAGUGACUGAGGACCUAGUGAUUUUGGGGACAUGGGGCUUUCCAUGCUCAAGACAGGACAGUCUGGGGCAAACCCCACAUAUCAGCCACUCCAGCAGCUUUCGUCUUCCUGGGGGUAGCUGGGGCAUGCUGCUUAAGGACGGUCACUCCUAGAACAGCGUCUAGGAUGAAGAAAUACGGCUCAUGAGGACAUUUAAAACAACAAACCUGAUCUCACUGCCACCGGGGCCACAGAACCCCACAUGGGUGGAUGGGGCAGGCUGAGGCCGCUCAGUGGGGUGCUGGAAAGCUGGGAGGCAGGUCAGGGGCCUGCUCUGGGAGACUUCUUUUCUUUCUGUUUCCUCCUUUUUUCAUUCAAAUCUCCACCUUCAAGGGAGGGGGCCUUGGACAGCUGUACCCUCAUGAAAGUAAAGAGUAGCUCUUUCCGGUCUGCCACCAGGAAGCAAAGGAUUAGGGGACCCCACACAGCUUCCUUUGGGGGCUGGUGGGAACAGCCAGCACUCUUUUGGGCUGAGUCACAUGGAGGUCCCGUGCGUCCUCCCCUUUUCCUGCCUGAGCCAUGAUUUGCCCGUGGCCAAUGUGUGGCCUGUGGAAUUGGCACUGGGCAAGCCUGCGGCUGGGUCCCAAGGCUCCUGCUCUAGGCAGGCAUCUGCUCUCUUGCCUGGCUUUCCUGCUUGUUCUCUUCUCCCUGGCCUCUUCAACCUCUGAUAAAUAAGUCCCUUUCUCCUCCACUCUUUACCCCACUUUCAUUUCUUUCUCUUCCAUCUCCGUGUCCUGAGGAAUAAAGGAGGGCCUAGGCAGCUCCCUGGCCCCAUGCCUUCUCCCUGCCCAAGAAGUUCUUAAAUGUUUAAGGGAAAGAUGGUUUUUCACAAAGGAAAUGUUCACUCCUCCACUGGACUGUGAGUUCCACGAGGUCAGGGACUGUGUUUUCCCUGCCCCUUGCUGUCUCCUGGUAUUGGGCAUGUAAACAUGUGUUCAUGGAUUAUACAAAUAAAAAAGAAGACUGCUUUUAACAAGGGUGGCCUCUGAGGACAAGUGACGUAGAGAGAGAAGGAGAAGAUGUUAAAACUUUUUAUUUAUUUACAAUUUCCUUCUCUUAAAAAUGUUGACUUUGGUCAGGCCUUCUGGCCAAGUGGAAUGUAGCCUGAGGUCAUUGUCAGGGUCUUCUCAAGAGAUGGAUGUUGCAGGAGGGGCUGCUUCACCUCCAGUUCCCAUGGGAGCUCCACUUAUACAGGGAGAGAAAUCAGGGAAAUGAGAAGCAAGGAAGUGGGAGGAAGGUGCACAUUUAGAUGAAUUUUCUCUAUCACUCCAUCUAGCCAGCAUGUAAGCUUUGUCUGUCCUGGUUCAGAAAAGCUGGUUUCUCUCCAGAAUCCAGAGGAGGGAAGGAAGGAGCUAAUUUUAUUCAGCAUCUACUGUGUGUCAUGCACAUCACAUAAUUUAUAUCACUGAUUCAUAAGAAUCUAGUUUGAUUGUGAUCCUUAUUAAACAGAUGAAGUUCAAUAAUUCACCUAAAGUCAUGCCCACGAGAGGGAAACCCGGGAUUUAAACUGACCUUCCUACGCUUAAGCCUGUCACCCUCCUUCCAUUAUGUUAUGCUACCUGUGGUUACAAAUAUAAAGAAAAAAUCAGUUGCCAGAGUAGAAGAGGGUAAGGGGGAAGCAUCCUCUAAAAGUUGGAUGAGCCUCACAGGCAUAUGAACAAUGCUGGACGUAAGUGGGUACUUACUGUAGGAUCCUAUUUAUAUGAUGCUCAAGAACAGGCAAAACUAACCUAGGAUGCUGGAAAUGAGAACAGUGUUUGUCUCUGUGGGUGGGGAUUGAUUGAAAAAGGACAGGAGAGAGCUUCACUGGGAUAAUGGAAUUCUUCUAUAUUUUAUUUGGGUGAUGGCAGGAAUAGUGUUUGUAGGAACAUACUCUGGGAAACUGCUCAGGUUUUUCUUAUGUUCUGAUCUAGGUUCAUCAAACCAGGCCAGGCACAGUGGCUCACACCUGUAAUCCCAGCUCUUUGGGAGGCUGAGGUGGGAGGAUCACUUGAGGUCAGGAGUUUGAGGCCAGCAUGGGCAACAUAGUGAGGCCCCAUCUCUACAAAAAGUAUGAAGAACUUAGCCCAGUGUGGUGGUGUGGGUCUGUAGUUCCAGCUACUUUCGAGGUUGAGGCUGAAGGAUCACUUGAGAUGCAGGAGUUCGAGGUUGCAGUGAGCUAUGAUCAUACCACUGCACUCCAGCCUGGGUGACAGAGCAAGACUCUGUCUCAAAAACAAACAAACAAAAGUUAGAAUCAUGUUUGUAAAUAUUAAGGACUUGCAUUCAGCUUUGGGCUCAAGGCCAGCUUGUAAAAUUUUAGAGUGGCUCCCACUGUACAUUUUGAACCCAGCUAUCCCUCCUGCGGCUAAAUCGAUAUUCCAUGAUGGAGUCAUCAGCUGUCUAUUGAUUUAAACUCUUCAAACUUACUUAUAAUAUCAUCAACCUGUAUUCUAUCCUGGGCUAAUGAAUUCUUUUUCACCUGUUUAAAAAGUAGUACUUGCUUUUACCUGUUCUGUAGCUACUUUCUCCAAGUCUCAAGGAAAUACUUGUUAGCUCAAGUAUUCCAAAAUGUUUUCCUUGUCUGAGAUGUGCAUGAUGUCUUACAUUUGAAGCAUAUUUUCUCUUCGACCUCCACCUUCCAGAACUGAGGUUCCCUCCUUCUUGUCUGGCCUAGUUGAUUCUCUGGGCUCAUCUAAAUGUCACCCCCUAGUCCCCUUCAAUGUGGCUCUUUGUGCCAAUAAUAUCUCAGGACAGCCUCCCUACUGUGGUAUUUAAGUGAACCUCUGGGUAAUAAGAUGCUCAUGUCAAAUUCGG
rnacentral:lncRNA from 1 species